rnacentral:rRNA from 1 species
CCUACGGGAGGCAGCAGUGGGGAAUAUUGCACAAUGGGGGAAACCCUGAUGCAGCGACGCCGCGUGAGUGAAGAAGUAUUUCGGUAUGUAAAGCUCUAUCAGCAGGAAAGAAAAUGACGGUACCUGACUAAGAAGCCCCGGCUAACUACGUGCCAGCAGCCGCGGUAAUACGUAGGGGGCAAGCGUUAUCCGGAUUUACUGGGUGUAAAGGGAGCGUAGACGGUGAAGCAAGUCUGAAGUGAAAGGCGGGGGCUCAACCCCCGGACUGCUUUGGAAACUGUUUGACUGGAGUGCAGGAGAGGUAAGUGGAAUUCCUAGUGUAGCGGUGAAAUGCGUAGAUAUUAGGAGGAACACCAGUGGCGAAGGCGGCUUACUGGACUGUAACUGACGUUGAGGCUCGAAAGCGUGGGGAGCAAACAGGAUUAGAUACCCCAGUAGUC